CGAGUGGCGGACGGGUGAGUAACACGUAGGUAACCCGCCCAGAAGCGGGGGACAACAUUUGGAAACAGAUGCUAAUACCGCAUAACAGCGUUGUUCGCAUGAACAACGCUUAAAAGAUGGCUUCUCGCUAUCACUUCUGGAUGGACCUGCGGUGCAUUAGCUUGUUGGUGGGGUAACGGCCUACCAAGGCGAUGAUGCAUAGCCGAGUUGAGAGACUGAUCGGCCACAAUGGGACUGAGACACGGCCCAUACUCCUACGGGAGGCAGCAGUAGGGAAUCUUCCACAAUGGGCGCAAGCCUGAUGGAGCAACACCGCGUGAGUGAAGAAGGGUUUCGGCUCGUAAAGCUCUGUUGUUAAAGAAGAACACGUAUGAGAGUAACUGUUCAUACGUUGACGGUAUUUAACCAGAAAGUCACGGCUAACUACGUGCCAGCAGCCGCGGUAAUACGUAGGUGGCAAGCGUUAUCCGGAUUUAUUGGGCGUAAAGAGAGUGCAGGCGGUUUUCUAAGUCUGAUGUGAAAGCCUUCGGCUUAACCGGAGAAGUGCAUCGGAAACUGGAUAACUUGAGUGCAGAAGAGGGUAGUGGAACUCCAUGUGUAGCGGUGGAAUG
rnacentral:rRNA from 1 species